AUGUCCUGAUCAGCAAACCCACUGAGAAUGUGCUGUGCUGACUGCAGGGCACAGGUAUCCCAAACAGAGGGCUUGUCCCUCACUGAUGGAUAAAGGGAGCCUGGGGGGCAGCUGGUCAGUCUCCAGAGGAAAAGGAGGACCCUGUCUGCAGUGCUACAACCAGAUGUGUCUUAGGAUGCAAUCAAAUUCAAGAUCUGCUCAGCUGAAAACUAGAAGAGCGAGGAACACUCAUUUUCACACAGCACGAAGUUGCCUCAAGAAGAAGCUUUGAAUGUGGUGCCAGCACAACAGCACUGCCAGCAGUGAGAGAAAAUAAGACAAGUAUCUCCAAGCUGUAAUAAAUACUGCUGUUAUUGCCUAUUGUUCAUCUGAAUCUCUACUCCUGAGAACUUGAGUUAAAUCCUAAAUUUUCCUUUUAUUUUUAGGCAGAAUAUCCAGCAAGUUAAAAAACUAGUAUCACAAGAACGUCCUAAGAUGGGGCUUGCUCCAGUUUUCCUGCUGAGCAUGUGUUUAGGAAUUGCUGCUAAAAAAAAGUCAGAGAGGAUGGUAGUUGCUGUGCUGUCACAUGGCCUGAUACAGCACAGAAUCUGCUUAGCAUUCUUGAAGGGAAAUUAUCCAGUGCUGCAACUCACAAUUUAUAAUUGGUUGCAUAUUAAUAGCUAAAAAAGGCAAUAAAAUCCACUGUGUGUUUAAAAAAAAAAAAAAGUAAGUAGGAGUAUUACAAGCUGAGCAGUGAAAAUCUGGAAGACUUCUUGGCUAGAGCAGGGCUGUGUGCAGUGUUGUUUCUCCUGUAUUAAUUACAAGCAAUUUAAAAUCAUCUUCUUCCUUCAAGGAAGGGUUUUAUUCAGCGUUUUUGUUAAUUUUAAUCUUGCUAAUGUGAUACUCUCUUGGAACCUCUGCCUUGUGUCAUAACAGUGAGACAUGCUGCCUCUUUUGUCCCUGCCCUUUGGGAAACACAGUUACUGCUGCUCAUUGCCUAACCCUGCUGUCGUGACACCUCCCUUGAAAGGGAAAGAAACUAAAACUCAGCAGCAGAAUUGUUCUUUCCCCCCCUUCCCCCCGAGUUCACUUUUAUUUGUAAUAUUUAAGCUAGACUGUGUGAGUGCCUCAAGAAAAUCAGGGGUUUAAAAUAUAUGGUGCUGUAUUAGAGUGGAAAGCUUGUUAUUCAGCACACUAAUUAUUUCUGAGUCACUGUAUUUAUGAAAUGUCAUGUA